CGGGGUGAGUAACACGUGGGCAACCUGCCCUGAAGCGGGGGAUAACAUCUGGAAACAGGUGCUAAUACCGCAUAACAACGAAAACCACAUGGUUUUCGUUUCAAANAUGGUUUCGGCUAUCACUUCAGGAUGGGCCCGCGGUGCAUUAGCUAGUUGGUAAGGUAACGGCUUACCAAGGCGAUGAUGCAUAGCCGAGUUGAGAGACUGAUCGGCCACAAUGGAACUGAGACACGGUCCAUACUCCUACGGGAGGCAGCAGGG
rnacentral:rRNA from 1 species